rnacentral:rRNA from 1 species
AUUGAACGCUGGCGGAAUGCUCUACACAUGCAAGUCGAACGGCAGCACGGGGGCAACCCUGGUGGCGAGUGGCGAACGGGUGAGUAAUACAUCGGAACGUGCCCGGUCGUGGGGGAUAACGUAGCGAAAGUUACGCUAAUACCGCAUACGGUCUGAGGAUGAAAGCGGGGGACCUUCGGGCCUCGCGCGAUCGGAGCGGCCGAUGUCAGAUUAGGUAGUUGGUGGGGUAAAGGCCUACCAAGCCGACGAUCUGUAGCUGGUCUGAGAGGACGACCAGCCACACUGGGACUGAGACACGGCCCAGACUCCUACGGGAGGCAGCAGUGGGGAAUUUUGGACAAUGGGCGCAAGCCUGAUCCAGCCAUUCCGCGUGCAGGACGAAGGCCUUCGGGUUGUAAACUGCUUUUGUAUGGAACGAAAAGGCUCUGGCUAAUACCUGGGGCUCAUGACGGUACCGUAAGAAUAAGCACCGGCUAACUACGUG